rnacentral:tRNA from 2 species
GCCUCGUUGGCUUAGGGGUAUAGCGGCUGACUUGUAAUCAGCAGGUCGCGUGUUCAAAUCACGCACGGGGCU